rnacentral:rRNA from 1 species
UACGGGAGGCAGCAGUAGGGAAUCUUCCACAAUGGGCGAAAGCCUGAUGGAGCAACGCCGCGUGGGUGAAGAAGGUCUUCGGAUCGUAAAACCCUGUUGUUAGAGAAGAAAGUGCGUGAGAGUAACUGUUCACGUUUCGACGGUAUCU